rnacentral:piRNA from 1 species
UCAUCAUGCCAUCGUCUUUAGUGACUGA